AGCGAACGCUGGCGGCAGGCUUAACACAUGCAAGUCGAGCGGGCACCUUUCGGGGUGUCAGCGGCGGACGGGUGAGUAACGCGUGGGAACGUGCCCUCUGGUUCGGAAUAACUCAGGGAAACUUGAGCUAAUACCGGAUACGCCCUUUUGGGGAAAGGCUUGCUGCCGGAGGAUCGGCCCGCGUCUGAUUAGCUAGUUGGUGAGGUAACGGCUCACCAAGGCGACGAUCAGUAGCUGGUCUGAGAGGAUGAUCAGCCACACUGGGACUGAGACACGGCCCAGACUCCCACGGGAGGCAGCAGUGGGGAAUAUUGGACAAUGGGCGCAAGCCUGAUCCAGCCAUGCCGCGUGAGUGAUGAAGGCCUUAGGGUUGUAAAGCUCUUUUAUCCGGGACGAUAAUGACGGUACCGGAGGAAUAAGCCCCGGCUAACUUCGUG
rnacentral:rRNA from 1 species